UCCAAGCGGGUAAUUCAAAAGUUUUUGAAAUCGGGUGGAACCCAAAAAGGUGUGUCUCUCUGUCUCUCUCUCUCUACUCAAGGAUGGAGAAACCCUAAAUUCUCCGGUAAAAGAUGUUGCCCCUCUUUCAUCGUCCUCUAGAUCUCGAGAUAGAUGAGAAAGGCAUCCCUCCAUCGCCAUCCUCAGGUCUUUCUCCUCCAUAUGCUCUCCAACUCGAUCUUUUAUCUUUAGUUAAUCUUUCGAUGUUGAGUUUUUGUUGCAACAACAAAUGACUUAAAUAAGGAGGUGGGUUUAUAAGUAAAGGUUUUGAUUUAAUAUCUUUUUGUGCUGUGGUUCUCAAGCUUUGUUCGAUCUAAUGAUUUUAUCAUUUAGUGUCAUAAGUUUUGUUCAACCUUCUUUAGUUUUUCUUUUAAUAAAAGUUUACGCCUUCUAUAGUAUAACCUAUGAAGUCCUUGCCAAAUCUUCUUGAUUACCUCUCCACCAUCUCGAUUCAUCUUACCAUUGUUUACUAUCGCCAUCUCUCCUUAACAACCAACAACCUCUAACACAUGCCCCUGUUCUCUAAUAAUUUGACCCUGAUUUCUAUUUUUGAAUCUCUAACCUUAGGUACUAAUUUUGACCUAGAUUUAUAUGAUGUUUAGGGUUUAAAUAGCGAAAAAUCUCACCAUUUACCUUGGUUUCAUUCAGAAUAUGUAGUGACCUCAAAUAUCUAACCCGAGGUAUCAUUUUUCACCUAGAUUUCUAUGGUUUCACAUCAACUGGUGUUGUGGGUCCUACAUGGUCGAAAACCUUAUUGUUUUACCAUAAUUUCGUUCAUAAUCUUGUGUGGCUUUGAAUAUCUAACCACAGGUGUCAUUUCUGGCCUAAUUUUCUAUGGUUCUCGGUCAUUUGUAGAAGGUAAUUUAAAGAACUUUAGGGUGCGUUUAGUAGCGGAAAAAUGGGCCGUUUUUCGGAAAAAUUUUCCAAGAAAAAUGAAAAUUUUGAAAACGUGUUUAGUUCCCCUAUUUUUCUAAAAUUUUCACGGAAAAUGAAAAUUUUCCUUUUUCUAAAAUUACAAAGAAAUUGGAAAUUUUUGGAAAAUUGAUAAUCAUUGUUUUCCACAUUUUUCUAAUUCCAAAAUUUUUCUAAAAUAUAAACACACACCCACUCCACUCCAUCCACCUCUACCUACCCCCACCUUAACACCCUCCACCCACACACACACACAUACAUACCCACCCACACACACAUCCACCCACAAACACACACACACACACAUACACAUACAUACUCACCCACACAUACACAUCCACCCACAAACACACACACAUACACAUACAUACCCACCCACACACACACCCACCCACAAACACACACACAUACAUACAUAUCCACCAACGCACCCCCACACAUACAUACAAACACACUCACACACAUACCCACCCACACCCCCACAAACACACACCCACACACACACAAACCCACACCUACGCCCACUCUCACAGACACACACCCCCACACAUACACAAACCUACAUCUACCCCCACAAAAAAACACAUACACAUACAAACACACACUCGCACCCCUACCAACCCAACAACAUCAUGACAAUCACUGACCUACCAUCACCAUCACCACCACCACCACCACUAACCCGUCACUAGCACCACCACCACCAUUGCCGCCGCCAUCAUCACCAAUGACACAAUUGCCGCCGCCACCACCAUCGCCUGUCAUCACCACCACCGCUGCCGACCCGCUACCGUCACCGCCCCCACCCACACCCUACCACCACUAUUGUUUUCUAAAAAUGAAAACCGAUAGAAAAAUACACAUCUAAACACGUUUUCUAAUUUUUUAAAACUAACAAUGAAAAAUGAAUAAGUUUAACUAAACGCGUUUUCUAAAUUUUUCAAUGAAAAAUGAAAACGGAAAACGAAAAUUGAAAAGGGAAAACAAAAAACGGAAAAUGAAAAUUGUUUUUCCGUAACUAAACGCAACCUUAGUUUCUUUCUAUUUUGUCUAUUUUUUCUAUUUUACGCAUUCCUUUUGUUUGUGUCAUUCUUCUUAUUUUGGUAAAUCACUUAUGUAGCAACAGAAAAAACUAACCAUGGUCGAUAUUAAGAUGAGUCUUGAAGAAAUAUGCAUAAUUUUGCCAAAAUCAGUGAUAUUAGUAAUGCACUGCAUGUAUUUUAUCCCACAAGAAGUGCUUAAAGAAACCUUUUUUAACUGCUGCUAACUUAUUGGUUCUCACUUUUAAUUUUCAGCUAUUAAUGGAUUUUAUUUUUUAUUUUUUCAGGGUCGGUGUAACUUAGAGAGUUGGGUGUACAUGGGAUCUUCCACUUAAAACUCAUUUUAUAACCUUUGUUCCAAUCUAAAUCUAGUUAAUUGCCUUUUCAUCCCAAAUAAGUGUUUUUCAAUUACUACCAUGAACAUUUUUAAAAAAAUUACAAUUAUAGUCCAUAUGAGGUAGUAAAUUGUGCCAACAUUUUGGUUCCCUAUUACUACUAUUUGCUUAAGACUCAUGAUGUUCCUCUAUUUAUGUUGUUGAAAAGGGGAAACCACUUCCUGGCAGGCGGUUUUGGCAUAAUUGAAAGAAAUUUGAGUAACUUGCUAUUUCUUGCUAACAAAUGGAAAUAAGUUGCUAUUUUUUUGGUUUUUUAAUUUUGGCUAAAUAAAAGAAAUAAUAUCUCUCUUUUUAGUCUUUGUAUUAUGUAAUCAUACUUUCAUUUCUUUUUGUUACAACAUUAUACUUUGAAAAGUACAAUGCUAUAAUAGAAAGAAAUAAAAGUAGGAAGCUAUAAUCUACUAUUAAUUGAAAGUCUGUUGUUUUUUGAAUUUAAGUUGGAUGAAUGGAAGAACUAGUAACUAACUCCUUAACUUUGUUUAUGUACAUUGUUUCAGUUAUAGAAGUGGAUCCGUUUGUUUGUUGUGUGAUAGGGUUUGAUGUAAUGCAUAAGUAACUGAAAUGAAUAUUUUUAUGAAGAAUUUUUUGCUGCAAAGGAACUAGAGGAUUGCGUCAAUAUGCAAUCUUCUUUUGAUGAAGAGUUUUGAUUGACAACCGGGUUAUUUAUUGAGUAACUCGGGUUACCUCUUUAUUGUCAUGAUAAAAAAUUAUAUGUUAGAUGAUGAUUUCUUGUGAGGCAUAUAUCAAGAAAAAUGUGAAUUUAUUUCAUUAUAUGUAAGUUUAGUCUAAUGAUGAUUUAAUUGGAUUCAUAAAUUGACAAUAGUUACUCAAAGAAGUACAUCUUAAUGUCACGCGACUUAUUUUUGUGCCUAAUAUUAUGACUUGAAUUUUAAUGUUCUUCAAUUUUCCAAAAAUCGUUUAUCAUACGAUUUUCAUUUUUCUUAUUUUUUCCUAAGGAAAUGAUCAAAUAAUCAUCAUAGUAGAACCAUUUCUUCAUAAAAUCGAAUAAUUUGUAGUAAAUUUAAUGGUUAAAUAAAAUAGU
rnacentral:lncRNA from 1 species